rnacentral:rRNA from 1 species
AGUGAACGCUGGCGGUAGGCCUAACACAUGCAAGUCGAACGGCAGCACAGUAAGAGCUUGCUCUUACGGGUGGCGAGUGGCGGACGGGUGAGGAAUACAUCGGAAUCUACUUUUUCGUGGGGGAUAACGUAGGGAAACUUACGCUAAUACCGCAUACGACCUACGGGUGAAAGCAGGGGAUCUUCGGACCUUGCGCGAUUGAAUGAGCCGAUGUCGGAUUAGCUAGUUGGCGGGGUAAAGGCCCACCAAGGCGACGAUCCGUAGCUGGUCUGAGAGGAUGAGCAGCCACACUGGAACUGAGACACGGUCCAGACGCCUACGGGAGGCAGCAGUGGGGAAUAUUGGACAAUGGGCGCAAGCCUGAUCCAGCCAUACCGCGUGGGUGAAGAAGGCCUUCGGGUUGUAAAGCCCUUUUGUUGGGAAAGAAAAGCAGCAGGUUAAUACCCCGCUGUUCUGACGGUACCCAAAGAAUAAGCACCGGCUAACUUCGU